GAUGAAGAACGUAGCGAAAUGCGAUAAGUAAUGUGAAUUGCAGAAUUCAGUGAAUCAUCGAAUCUUUGAACGCACAUUGCACCCGGCAGUACUCUGCCGGGCAUGCCUGUUCGAGCGUCAUUUCAACCCUCAAGCCCUGCUUGGUGUUGGGGUCCCACGGCCGCCGUGGGCCCUGAAAGGAAGUGGCGGGCUCGCUACAACUCCGAGCGUAGUAAUUCAUUAUCUCGCUUAGGGCGUUGGGCGGCGCUCCUGCCGUUAAAGAACCAUCUUUAACUCAAGGUUGACCUCGGAUCAGGUAGGAAUACCCGCUGAACUUAAGCAUAUCAAUAAGCGGAGGA
rnacentral:misc_RNA from 1 species